rnacentral:rRNA from 1 species
GACGAACGCUGGCGGCGUGCUUAACACAUGCAAGUCGAACGGAAAGGCCCUGCUUUUGUGGGGUGCUCGAGUGGCGAACGGGUGAGUAACACGUGAGUAACCUGCCCUUGACUUUGGGAUAACUUCAGGAAACUGGGGCUAAUACCGGAUAGGAGCUCCUGCUGCAUGGUGGGGGUUGGAAAGUUUCGGCGGUUGGGGAUGGACUCGCGGCUUAUCAGCUUGUUGGUGGGGUAGUGGCUUACCAAGGCUUUGACGGGUAGCCGGCCUGAGAGGGUGACCGGGCAAAAUGGGACUGAGGUUCGGCCCAGGCCUCUACGGGGGGGAAGAGUGGGGAAUAUUGCACAAUGGGCGGAAGGCUGGUGCAGCAACGCCGCGUGGGGGAUGACGGCCUUCGGGUUGUAAACCGCUUUCGCCUGUGACGAAGCGUGAGUGACGGUAAUGGGUAAAGAAGCACCGGCUAACUACGUG